GAAAUGCGAUAAGUAGUGUGAAUUGCAGAAUUCGCGAAUCAUCGAAUCUUUGAACGCACAUUGCGCCUCCUGGCAUUCCAGGGGGCAUGCCUGUUUGAGAGUCUGUUUUAAAGUCAGAGCCCUCGCUUGGGGGCGUCUGGUGGUGGGCCGCGAGAUGCGUCUCUGGCCUGAAAGGUAUGGGCAUAGAACGGACGCAGGGCGGCCGCGGUGUGAUAGGUGCACAGCACAGCUCGCCGCUGGAGCGCAGUCCGGGCUGCCAACAGCCGGGCAAGGCCGGCACACAGCAUCCAAGACUUGGACCUCAAAUCAGGUAGGAAGACCCGCUGAACUUAA
rnacentral:misc_RNA from 1 species